AUUAAAAACCAAUGCCCUUCGGGGCUCUCUGGUGAUUCAUAAUAACUUCUCGAAUCGCACGGCCUUGCGCCGGCGAUGGUUCAUUCAAAUUUCUGCCCUAUCAACUUUCGACGGCUGGGUCUUGGCCAGCCGUGGUGACAACGGGUAACGGAGGGUUAGGGCUCGACCCCGGAGAAGGAGCCUGAGAAACGGCUACUACAUCCAAGGAAGGCAGCAGGCGCGCAAAUUACCCAAUCCCGACACGGGGAGGUAGUGACAAUAAAUACUGAUACAGGGCUCUUUCGGGUCUUGUAAUUGGAAUGAGUACAAUUUAAAUCCCUUAACGAGGAACAAUUGGAGGGCAAGUCUGGUGCCAGCAGCCGCGGUAAUUCCAGCUCCAAUAGCGUAUAUUAAAGUUGUUGCAGUUAAAAAGCUCGUAGUUGAACUUCAGACCUGGCCGGAUGGUCUGCCUAACGGUAUGUACUGUCUGGCUGGGCCUUACCUCUUGGUGAGCCGGCAUGCCCUUCACUGGGUGUGUC
rnacentral:rRNA from 1 species